GCUGCUCCCCGCUCUGCAGCCAGGCCACGGCCCCUGGGAGCACUGCCAGCCCCAGGGCCCCAGCAGGGAUCAAUGGUUCCUGACCCCUCCUCUCCUCACAGACGAUCGGUGCCAGCCCUCCCUGGGGCGCCGAAGGGAACCGGGACCCUCCCUCACCUGCUCCGUGGGGGCCGCCUGCCCCCAUCGCCCCUCCUGGUACGACCAAGAUGGCGCGCGGCGAAGCCCAGGGCAAACCCCGGGCGGGGCUGGGGUGACCGAGCUGCGAAUAUCCCCGUCCCAGCUGGGCCCCGGCGCUGCGCUGAGAUGCCAGGUGGAUGGAUACCGGGAUGAGUGUGACUCUGACCAAUUCCAGCCCCUGGGGACAGUCACCCCCAACGUGCCCAGGGUCGAGGUUUCGUGGCCGGCAGGGAAGGCAGCGCUAAGGGAAGGCGACGGUUUUACCCUGCGCUGCCAGGGUGCUGCGCCGCGGCCUCCCGGGUACGUCUGGUCCCACGGGGACGUGUGGCUGCCAGAAGCCAGGCAGGAUUUACGUGUUGACAAGGCAGCCGGCUCUGAUGGAGGGAGUUACGCCUGCGGGGUCUGGGUCUCCGGCCCCGGCUGGGGGUAUCUGAGCCUCUCUGCGAGGGAAUCGGUCGAAGUUCAGCGCUCUGGCCCGUGCCAGUGUCUAAGCCCUGGCCUCAUGGCCGGCGUUGUGGUUGCCAUUCUGCUCCUUGUCAUCCUCGUUAAUGUGGGGGCUUGUUACCUGCUCAGGAGAGGCCGGCGGCAGGCGGGAGCCGAGGGGGCUGCGGAGGGUGCCGAGCUUUCCCGCAGGCCGAAAACAGAGUCACCCUAUGAGGAACUCCAAGGACGGACCCAGGAUAUUUACAGCCAGUUGGACUCUCCCCAAGCAGGUUCCCACUGAGCUCCGCCUAAAUCCGACCAGCCGGGGACCCCUCUGCACGGCCAGGACCUUAAACACAAAGAGAAGCCAUCGCUUGAUGGGGCCAGAUCCCAGCGGGGGUCCACAAGCGCCCACUUUCCAUUGUGCUGGGGGGUGCUUGACCCCUGGCUCUGUCCCAGGCCUCACCCCCAUCCCCAGUCCACCCCUAUCCUCAAGACCGCACCCCUGCCCCGCCCCUCCCCACUCCUGCCCCACCUCUUCCCACCCCUGAGCGCGCUGCGUCCUCACUCCUCUCCCCUUCCCAGUACGUCCCUCGGCCCUCGCCACUUCCUGCAGCUCCCAUUGGCCUGGAGCAGCGAACCGCGGCCACUGGGAGCUGUGAUCGGCCGAACCUGCGGACGCGGCAGGUAAACAAACCGGCUCGGCCCUCCAGGGGCUUUCCCUACACAAGCGGCGUCCCAGGUUUGGGAAACACUGCCUUAGGGUACUUCAGAUUAAAACACAUUGCUAUACAAGUACCUAGCGAAUAUUCAUAACUUCAACUACAAAAAUGAUGCACACAUACAGACAGCAUAAUCAUAAUUAGCAAAUCACAGUCUUUCCAUAGACACGUCACACGACAACC
rnacentral:lncRNA from 1 species